CCACUGCAGGGAAAGACAGGGAGUGUGGUGACGCCCAGCAGCACCUCAGCCAGCCCUAGCCAGCCUUGUUCAGGACUGAGGCAGAACCACGUCUUCACUUCUUGUCUGCUACCCCUGCUUAUUCUGCCAGCUCAGGACACAACCAGGGAUCUUUCCCCCAACAGAACAUGAACUGCUAGGGCGUGGUUCCCAUCCAUGCACCCUAGUGAGCAGCACAAGACCAGGAGUGGGGCUUCUCAGCUCACUGACCCUGCGGUCACCCGCGGUGAUAUUCUGCAGCGCCCCUGCAGCCGCCUCUGUUGUAUGCCGGUUUAGUUCACAGCGCUGCAGCAGUCGGUUGUAUAGCCCCACAAUCUGGGGACUCCACAGCCACUCCAGGCCCUUGGGAUCCUUAGAUACUUCCGCAAAGGCGUCAAAAGAACAUACUUCUUCUAGAAGCUUCCCUGAUGCUUCUCUGGUUCCUGGCUCUUUCCCCUCAGCAUCUCCUGGCCCAGCGCCUCCACUUAGCACACCUGAGGAAGCC